GAACAUUGAAAACUGAAUGACAAUAUGUCAACGUUAAUUCCAAAAAACGUAACUAUAAGUUACAAACAUUAUUUAGUAUUUAUGAGCUAAUCAAACAUCAUAAUUUUUAUGGAGAGUUUGAUCCUGGCUCAGGAUGAACGCUGGCGGCGUGCCUAAUACAUGCAAGUCGAGCGAACGGACGAGAAGCUUGCUUCUCUGAUGUUAGCGGCGGACGGGUGAGUAACACGUGGAUAACCUACCUAUAAGACUGGGAUAACUUCGGGAAACCGGAGCUAAUACCGGAUAAUAUUUUGAACCGCAUGGUUCAAAAGUGAAAGACGGUCUUGCUGUCACUUAUAGAUGGAUCCGCGCUGCAUUAGCUAGUUGGUAAGGUAACGGCUUACCAAGGCAACGAUGCAUAGCCGACCUGAGAGGGUGAUCGGCCACACUGGAACUGAGACACGGUCCAGACUCCUACGGGAGGCAGCAGUAGGGAAUCUUCCGCAAUGGGCGAAAGCCUGACGGAGCAACGCCGCGUGAGUGAUGAAGGUCUUCGGAUCGUAAAACUCUGUUAUUAGGGAAGAACAUAUGUGUAAGUAACUGUGCACAUCUUGACGGUACCUAAUCAGAAAGCCACGGCUAACUACGUGCCAGCAGCCGCGGUAAUACGUAGGUGGCAAGCGUUAUCCGGAAUUAUUGGGCGUAAAGCGCGCGUAGGCGGUUUUUUAAGUCUGAUGUGAAAGCCCACGGCUCAACCGUGGAGGGUCAUUGGAAACUGGAAAACUUGAGUGCAGAAGAGGAAAGUGGAAUUCCAUGUGUAGCGGUGAAAUGCGCAGAGAUAUGGAGGAACACCAGUGGCGAAGGCGACUUUCUGGUCUGUAACUGACGCUGAUGUGCGAAAGCGUGGGGAUCAAACAGGAUUAGAUACCCUGGUAGUCCACGCCGUAAACGAUGAGUGCUAAGUGUUAGGGGGUUUCCGCCCCUUAGUGCUGCAGCUAACGCAUUAAGCACUCCGCCUGGGGAGUACGACCGCAAGGUUGAAACUCAAAGGAAUUGACGGGGACCCGCACAAGCGGUGGAGCAUGUGGUUUAAUUCGAAGCAACGCGAAGAACCUUACCAAAUCUUGACAUCCUUUGACAACUCUAGAGAUAGAGCCUUCCCCUUCGGGGGACAAAGUGACAGGUGGUGCAUGGUUGUCGUCAGCUCGUGUCGUGAGAUGUUGGGUUAAGUCCCGCAACGAGCGCAACCCUUAAGCUUAGUUGCCAUCAUUAAGUUGGGCACUCUAAGUUGACUGCCGGUGACAAACCGGAGGAAGGUGGGGAUGACGUCAAAUCAUCAUGCCCCUUAUGAUUUGGGCUACACACGUGCUACAAUGGACAAUACAAAGGGCAGCGAAACCGCGAGGUCAAGCAAAUCCCAUAAAGUUGUUCUCAGUUCGGAUUGUAGUCUGCAACUCGACUACAUGAAGCUGGAAUCGCUAGUAAUCGUAGAUCAGCAUGCUACGGUGAAUACGUUCCCGGGUCUUGUACACACCGCCCGUCACACCACGAGAGUUUGUAACACCCGAAGCCGGUGGAGUAACCUUUUAGGAGCUAGCCGUCGAAGGUGGGACAAAUGAUUGGGGUGAAGUCGUAACAAGGUAGCCGUAUCGGAAGGUGCGGCUGGAUCACCUCCUUUCUAAGGAUAUAUUCGGAACAUCUUCUUCAGAAGAUGCGGAAUAACGUGACAUAUUGUAUUCAGUUUUGAAUGUUU
rnacentral:rRNA from 1 species